AUUACCACCAACAAUCUAAGGCAGCCCAUUAAUGAAAAUGUUAGCAAGCUGACAAGCUUUUUGGGAACAAUAGCACAUAAUGGGGAUUACGCACCCCUUACAUAUUCUAAUUGGAGGGCAGUGCCAAAUGAGAAGAAGGAUGAUAUGUAUGAACUUGUCAUGUCCAAGUUUUAGUUUGACAAAGAGAUUAAAUCUUGGGUGUUGAUGUUGAUUGGUAAAAAAUGGAGGGAUUAGAAGUGCGAACUGAAGAAAUUCCACUACUCGCCUCAUGAUAAUGAUGAGGCAUGGUUAGCAGACCUCAAUGAGCGUGUCCAUAUGGAUCAGUGGAAGGCCCUCAUUGAGUUUUGGAACUCUGAAGAGGGAAAGGCCCGUAAUAAGAUAAAUAUAGAAAAUCAAAGAAAACAACGCAUCAGCCACGCUGCAGGCAUGAAGAGCUUUGCGCGAAUACGUGAUGAAGAG